UCAGGACGAACGCUGGCGGCGUGCCUAAUACAUGCAAGUUGAGCGCUGAAGGUUGGUACUUGUACCGACUGGAUGAGCAGCGAACGGGUGAGUAACGCGUGGGGAAUCUGCCUUUGAGCGGGGGACAACAUUUGGAAACGAAUGCUAAUACCGCAUAAAAACUUUAAACACAAGUUUUAAGUUUGAAAGAUGCAAUUGCAUCACUCAAAGAUGAUCCCGCGUUGUAUUAGCUAGUUGGUGAGGUAAAGGCUCACCAAGGCGAUGAUACAUAGCCGACCUGAGAGGGUGAUCGGCCACAUUGGGACUGAGACACGGCCCAAACUCCUACGGGAGGCAGCAGUAGGGAAUCUUCGGCAAUGGACGAAAGUCUGACCGAGCAACGCCGCGUGAGUGAAGAAGGUUUUCGGAUCGUAAAACUCUGUUGGUAGAGAAGAACGUUGGUGAGAGUGGAAAGCUCAUCAAGUGACGGUAACUACCCAGAAAGGGACGGCUAACUACGUGCCAGCAGCCGCGGUAAUACGUAGGUCCCGAGCGUUGUCCGGAUUUAUUGGGCGUAAAGCGAGCGCAGGUGGUUUAUUAAGUCUGGUGUAAAAGGCAGUGGCUCAACCAUUGUAUGCAUUGGAAACUGGUAGACUUGAGUGCAGGAGAGGAGAGUGGAAUUCCAUGUGUAGCGGUGAAAUGCGUAGAUAUAUGGAGGAACACCGGUGGCGAAAGCGGCUCUCUGGCC
rnacentral:rRNA from 1 species